UACGGGGGGAGCAAGCGUUGUUCGGAUUUACUGGGCGUAAAGCGCACGUAGGCGGCUUGGCAAGUCGGAUGUGAAAUCCCUCGGCUUAACCGAGGAAGUGCAUCCGAAACUGCUGAGCUUGAGUACUUAAGAGGAUCGCGGAAUUCCCGGUGUAGAGGUGAAAUUCGUAGAUAUCGGGAGGAACACCAGUGGCGAAGGCGGCGAUCUGGGAAGAUACUGACGCUGAGGUGCGAAAGCGUGGGGAGCAAACAGG
rnacentral:rRNA from 1 species